AGAGUUUGAUCAUGGCUCAGGACGAACGCUGGCGGCGCGCCUAACACAUGCAAGUCGAACGGAGCUGAGAGGGAGCGUGACGUUUCUUAGCUUAGUGGCGAACGGGUGAGUAACGCGUGAGUAACCUGCCCUGGAGUGGGGGACAACAGUUGGAAACGACUGCUAAUACCGCAUAAGCCCACGGCCCGGCAUCGGGCUGAGGGAAAAGGAUUAUUCGCUUCAGGAUGGACUCGCGUCCAAUUAGCUAGUUGGUGAGGUAACGGCCACCAAGGCGACGAUUGGUAGCCGGACUGAGAGGUUGAACGGCCACAUUGGGACUGAGACACGGCCCAGACUCCUACGGGAGCA
rnacentral:rRNA from 1 species